GAUGUACGAGUUUGUUGUUUAUGUGGCAUGUGCCAUGUACUCUAGAUGUAUUAGUUUGUUGUUUGUGUGUCACGUGCCAUGUACUUUGGAUGUACUAGUUUGUUGUUUGUGUGGCAUGUGCCAGGUACUUUGGAUGUAUUAGUUUGUUGUUUGUGUGGCAUGUGCCAUGUACUCUGGAUGUACUAGUUUGUUGUUUGUAUGGCAUGUGCCAUGUUGUAAGCCUGAGAGCUUUUUAUUUAUGGAUGUUUACAACUUUGCGCCGUAUAGUUUGAUGUUAAUUGCCAAGUAUUUGCACUAUCAUUGAUGAAUGCUUGGCUAUGUUUGAGCAAAUCCUUUGUUUGGAUAUAAGCCAUAACUUGGGUAAGAUUGAAUGAAUAUACUGUGGAGCCGUUCAUUUAUUUGUAUAGUCUUGUUGACAUAUACUUAGACUUUAUUUCCUGUUAGGAGCAUUCAUGUUAAAGCUUUGAACCCGUGUGUUUCAUUGCUAGGAAUGUAAGGG
rnacentral:lncRNA from 1 species